rnacentral:rRNA from 1 species
CCUACGGGAGGCUGCAGUGGGGAAUAUUGCGCAAUGGGCGAAAGCCUGACGCAGCGACGCCGCGUGAGGGAUGAAGGUCUUCGGAUCGUAAACCUCUGUCAGCAGGGAAGAACGGUCACUGUGCUAAUCAGCAGUGAAUUGACGGUACCUGCAAAGGAAGCACCGGCUAACUCCGUGCCAGCAGCCGCGGUAAUACGGGGGGUGCGAGCGUUAAUCGGAAUUACUGGGCGUAACGCGCGCGUAGGCGGUAUGUCAAGUCAAGGGUGAACUGCCCGCGCUGCACGGGGGAACUGCCUUGGAAACUGGCAAGCUGGAGUGUGUGAGAGGAUAGUGGAAUUCCAGGUGUAGGAGUGAAAUCCGUAGAUAUCUGGAGGAACAUCAGUGGCGAAGGCGACUAUCUGGCACAUAACUGACGCUGAGGAGCGAAAGCGUGGGUAGCAAACAGGAUUAGAUACCCGUGUAGUC